ACUUUUUUGGGAAGUAGCCCAUCUUAUCUGAACUCAGAACAUAAGCAAAGUUGGGCUUCAUUAGUACUUAGAUAGGAGACUGGGAAAAUGAUGUC
rnacentral:rRNA from 1 species